CCGUAUCUUAGCAUUAUUAGCUGAAAAUUUAAAUCAAUAAUAAUGAAAUACGAGAGGGACGUCCUUAAUUAAGAAGUUUUCUUAACACGUCCUUAUGGGCACGUGUCAUCCUCCAACAUGAAGACGGUCUCUCUCUUGUUUUCAUCGUCUCCUUCUCCCUAUUUUUUCUGGACUGUGAUUUCCAACCAAACCGUCUCCCUCCGUUGCUGCUUCCAUCGAUCAUUACCUAUCUAUGACUCUGCCUUGGCUAUUAGAGCAAAGAACCCUAGAUUCAAGUCGUGGGGGCAGCAGGGUUUUGAUUCUCAAUCAUUAGAAACUGGUUUACUGCAUCGGAUUCGGAUCGAUUAGAAAUCAAAUCGGAAAAACAUGAAAGAAGGGAAAUCUGCAAAGUCGAAUCAUCAGCAUCAAGACAACCAUGAAGAGAUUCACCACCAAAAGAGUCAUCUCGGUUCUUUCAAAUUCGCCAAACUGUUUGAUUCAGAAGCUUCCUGGGACAAGGACCAACUAGGAGAUGUGUUGCACUGGAUCAGGCAAGUUGUUGGCUUACUCUGCGGUUUGCUUUGGGGUGCCAUCCCUUUGGUUGGAGACAUCUGGCUACUUCUCUUGCGUGGAUUCUGGUGUAUAACUUGUCCAUGCUCAGAAGAAGUUUAGAGAAGGUGGAUUUCAUGGUGUUGAUGACAUUCUUCUUUACAUUGCUCUUGAUGCUUUUGUUUUCUCAAGAUGAAAAGUAGCUUUUCUUUGAAGUGUCAUCUUUGUUACAACUUAAUAGUUUACUUCAGCUAGAAGAAGAAAACCAUUGAAAUUCACUUAAAACUCUUGUUUUAUGUUUCAACGGGGUAAAAAGAUGAUAUACACAGCUGGGAGAGACACCAAUAAUCUAUCAUUUU